UGAUGAUGAUGAUGAUGAUGAUGAUGAUGAUGAUGACGGAGAUAAUUAUCAUUAUUAUCAUCCUCUUCGUCGUCGUCGUCAUCAUUAACAUCAACA
rnacentral:pre_miRNA from 1 species